GUUAGGGUGGCAGAGCCUGGUAAUUGCAAAAGAUCUAAGCCCUUUUAAGCAGAGGUUCAAAUCCUCUCCCUAACU
rnacentral:tRNA from 1 species